CUCUCUCUUUCCAGAACGAGCACGCAAUGCCGCCACAUCUCCUUGGUGUGCAUGCCACACACUUCUUCUCUCCUGCGAACCCUAGCUUCUCCCCUCCUAUAAAUCCCCUGCGUCCCUGCCUCCGCCUCCAUUUCCUCACACGCGUAGCCAAGCCCCUGCCCUACCAUGCUCCGUGCUCGCCCUGGCACCGCCGGUCGCCACUCGCCAUUGUUGUCGUCUCGCCCAAGUCCCAACUCCGGUGAACCCAGCCACCUCAGCUCGAUUCCUCGCACGAGAAUUACCAUAUCACGUUCAGGUUUCGUCCAAACCAUCAAUGGUUCAAUCCGUCCACCACAGCUCUCCAAUUUUGAGGUCCAAUCGGACUUCGUCUGGAAGUUCUAUCAGAAGAUCGCGCCGUUGACCAUGAUGUGCCCUCUGUCGCCAUGAACCCUACCGCCAUGACUUCUGGUACCCGAGUAUGAUGAUUGGUGAGAGGAAAAAAUCGCCGCCCAACCGUCAGGUGCCUCCGAUGAUAAGCUGGCCCUAAAACAUGGAGGACUCGGCAGCACAGAGAGAUGACACGGAGGAGAAUGGUAUAAAAUAAAAGUACAUCAAGCAGUCAAUCACCACAGGUAAAAUGGGAUGGCCCAGAAAAACCACACGCAAAAUUGGACGGACAGGUGAGGUGUCGAGCCUGAUCUUCCACCCGACUCCCCCAACAACUACCUUUAGUAAUGGUAUAAAUCCAUACUUUUGUUCUUGUUAUUCAAAAGAGCUUGCACCUGACGUGUGCCAUUAUAGGUUAAAAGUGGAGCAUCUAUUUGCUUUGGCAAAUGACUGUCCCUCAUUUUGGAGGACUUGACUGAACGCAUCUUGAACUUGGUCUCCAUCAACCCAAUCUCCAAAACUUCUACCUCAUUUGUCAAAAUCACAGUUUGUUGAUGUAUUCUUUGUUUCUGGUAAUUCCACCAACCAACAAGUAACAGGAAGGUCAGUCAGGUUAUGGAAAUACAAUUCAAGAAGCAGAGACAUGAAUCCUUCGGUAUCUUAAGUGAAUUGCUCACCUCUUUCAUCAUGCCCUGACACAGAAUAGAAUCAUCUUGAGUUCCGCUUGCAAUUAGCCCAAUACUCCGCCACAAGUUUAGCAAAGGCUGAUUUUUUGUCUCCCAACAGCUUGGCUGGUGUGUCAUAUUCUAGAACCUUACCUGUACAAAGUCACCAGCACUCAUCAUCAAAUAAAUAAGCGCUGUUUUUUACUUAUUAUAAGCAGAUCAGAAUUGAUGUCAAUGCUACUGCAUCAUAUCACUACUAUUACUCUGAGCCUCUGGGGAAGGAUCGAAAUUUCAUCAGAUUGAUAUAUUACCAAUUGUGUAGUAUAGCAUACCGUAGGAAAGUACCAUGACCUUGUCGCUGUCUGUCACAGUUGGAACCCUGUGAGCAAUGGUUAUCACUGUGCAACUGUUGAACUGCUUCCUGAUGACACUCUGCAGGAUUGCAUCAGUGGCAGCGUCAAUUGACGCUGUUGCUUUAUCUAGCACUAGAAUUUUAUUCCUAUGGAGGAGAACUCUGCCAAGACAGAAAAGCUGGCGCUGUCCAACACUCCAAUUAUCGCCAUCAUCACUCACUGCCAUAGGCCAGGGGGAGAAAUCAUUUGAACCCUUCUGGUUAACUAAAACUGCUUUCUAAGAAUGCAGGCCAAGGGGGUCCAAGUUAUUGCGCACAGUUCCUCUGAAAAGUGUAGGUUCUUGGGGGAUAAUACUCAGUUUAGUUCUUAGAUCCUUGAGACCUAUAGAGCUGAUAUCCAAAUUGUCAAUAAGUAUCCUCCCACCCACAGGAUCAACGAGACGGAACAAUGUGCUGAUAAGCGUUGAUUUCCCACUUCCCGUCCUCCCGACAACCCCAAUUCUGCUUCUCGCUGGGAAGGUGCAUGUGAUUCCUUUGAGAACAAGUGACGUGUUUGGACGGUAUUUCACCUGCUCAAAAAGCGCAAGUUAGUACAACCUUUUCUUAUUAAUUAGUUACAGUGAUUGCCAGCAAA